rnacentral:rRNA from 1 species
CUAUAAUUGUCAGCUAAGUGGCGCACGGGUGAGUAAUGUAUAGAUAACCUGCCCUUAAGAAAGGAAUAACAGUUGGAAACGACUGCUAAUGCCCUAUAUGCCUUUAAUACAUAAGUAUGCAAGGGAAACGCUUUAGUGCUUAAGGAUGGGUCUGUAUGGUAUCAGCUUGUUGGUGAGGUAAUGGCUCACCAAGGCUAUGACGCCUAACUGGUUUGAGAGGAUGAUCAGUCACACUGGAACUGAGACACGGUCCAGACUCCUACGGGAGGCAGCAGUGGGGAAUAUUGCACAAUGGACGAAAGUCUGAUGCAGCAACGCCGCGUGGAGGAUGACACAUUUCGGUGCGUAAACUCCUUUUAUAUAGGAAGAUAAUGACGGUACUAUAUGAAUAAGCACCGGCUAACUCCGUGCCAGCAGCCGCGGUGAUACGGAGGGUGCAAGCGUUACUCGGAAUCACUGGGCGUAAAGGGCGUGUAGGCGGGUAUAUAAGUCAGAAGUGAAAUCCAAUAGCUCAACUAUUGAACUGCUUUUGAAACUGUAUACCUAGAAUGUGGGAGAGGUAGAUGGAAUUUCUGGUGUAGGGGUAAAAUCCGUAGAGAUCAGAAGGAAUACCGAUUGCGAAGGCGAUCUACUGGAACAUUAUUGACGCUGAGACGCGAAAGCGUGGGGAGCAAACAGGAUUAGAUACCCUGGUAGUCCACGCCCUAAACGAUGUACACUAGUUGUUGUGAGGCUCGACCUUGCAGUAAUGCAGUUAACACAUUAAGUGUACCGCCUGGGGAGUACGGUCGCAAGAUUAA